AGUCUUAUAGCUCAGCUGGUUGGAGCGUCGUGUUGGUAAUAAUGCGAAGGCCGAGAGUUCGAGUCUCUCUGGGACUG